GAUGAACGCUGGCGGCGUGCCUAAUACAUGCAAGUCGAGCGAACGGACGAGAAGCUUGCUUCUCUGAUGUUAGCGGCGGACGGGUGAGUAACACGUGGAUAACCUACCUAUAAGACUGGGAUAACUUCGGGAAACCGGAGCUAAUACCGGAGAAUAUUUUGAACCGCAGGGUUCAAAAGUGAAAGACGGUCUUGCUGUCACUUAUAGAUGGAUCCGCGCUGCAUUAGCUAGUUGGUAAGGUAACGGCUUACCAAGGCAACGAUGCAUAGCCGACCUGAGAGGGUGAUCGGCCACACUGGAGCGGAGACACGGUCCAGACUCCUACGGGAGGCAGCAGUAGGGAAUGUUACGCAAUGGGCGAAAGCCUGACGGAGCAACGCCGCGUGAGUGAUGAAGGUCUUCGGAUCGUAAAACUCUGUUAUUAGGGAAGAACAUAUGUGUAAGUAACUGUGCACAUCUUGACGGUACCUAAUCAGAAAGCCACGGCUAACUACGUG
rnacentral:rRNA from 1 species